AUUGAACGCUGGCGGCAUGCCUUACACAUGCAAGUCGAACGGUAACAGGUCUUCGGAUGCUGACGAGUGGCGAACGGGUGAGUAAUACAUCGGAACGUGCCUAGUAGUGGGGGAUAACUACUCGAAAGCGUGGCUAAUACCGCAUGAGAUCUACGGAUGAAAGCAGGGGAUCGCAAGACCUUGUGCCACUAGAGCGGCCGAUGGCAGAUUAGGUAGUUGGUGGGAUAAAAGCUUACCAAGCCGACGAUCUGUAGCUGGUCUGAGAGGACGAUCAGCCACACUGGGACUGAGACACGGCCCAGACUCCUACGGGAGGCAGCAGUGGGGAAUUUUGGACAAUGGGCGAAAGCCUGAUCCAGCAAUGCCGCGUGCAGGAUGAAGGCCUUCGGGUUGUAAACUGCUUUUGUACGGAACGAAAAGCCCCGGGUUAAUACCCUGGGGUCAUGACGGUACCGUAAGAAUAGGCACCGGCUAACUACGUGCCAGCCGCCGCGGUAA
rnacentral:rRNA from 1 species